CUCUGUAUUUACAACGCUUAAUAAAGCCCAGUCCUCACUACGCAGGGUCUUCCGCUCCCAAACUCAUCGUUUUUCCGGGAGAGCUGGUCGCUUCAGGGGCCGAGCAACCAGUAGAGCAGCCUUUGCAGGCUACAGGCCCCGACCCACAGAUCAUUGGUCCUCUGGACCCACAAGACCCUACCACAGACAGCUCUUCAGCUCCAGAGGCUCUAU